rnacentral:lncRNA from 1 species
GGACAUGCUGAGGAACCAGCUCUGGAGCCUUCCAGUGGACAAGCAGACAGCUCCCGUGAGCAAGCAGACAUGUGUGGCUGUGGGAUCAGAUGAAGAAUUGCACUUUGGCUCAGCUUCCCAUGUUCACUACCCAGGAACAAAUUCCUCAAGAUCCUGAAAGAGCUGAGCCAGAACCACUGCUACCGCCACCAACACAGCCUCUGUACAGCCACAGCCAUGGCCACAUCCAGCUUCUGCCACAGGUAUGUGCAUCUGUGCCGCUGGGCUCUGACCUCUGGGCCUCCUUCCCUCUUUUCAAAUCCUGCUGGAUGAUUAACUCCCAUCCUCCCCAAAGUCUUCUUGGUUGAGCCCAGCUGCCUACCCACGCUCAUAGCAGCUGCUCUCAACAUUUACCAAGCAAGCUCAGGUUACAGUAGCUGUAAUCAGGUUGAUUUAUGGGUUCCGGAUAAUUGUGUGG